GCCAAUGAGUUAAUGAUUUGUGGUUAGUCUUGGUAUACGAGAGGCUUAACCUUCUUUGAUCCAAAUCAAACUCAACUUGAUCAAAGAUCAAGUCAGUUGCUUUGUGUCCAAGAUAGGUUUCUUCUUGGUCAAGCAAAAAACCUAAAAUCCAUACAAGGUCUUUCCUCUUUUCUUUUGGCAUGGCAAGUUGUAGGAGCCUGGCUUACUAGUCAUGAUCUAUAACUUGUGUUUAGUUGCCUAUAGUUUUAUUGACCGGCCUCAGAUAGGUGUGAC
rnacentral:lncRNA from 1 species